rnacentral:rRNA from 1 species
GCAAAACGCGAAGAACCUUACCAAGGCUUAAAUGUAGAUUGACAGGUUUAGAGAUAGACUUUUCUUCGGACAAUUUACAAGGUGCUGCAUGGUUGUCGUCAGCUCGUGCCGUGAGGUGUCAGGUUAAGUCCUAUAACGAGCGCAACCCCUAUUGUUAGUUGCCAGCGAGUAAUGUCGGGAACUCUAACAAGACUGCCGGUGCAAACCGUGAGGAAGGUGGGGAUGACGUCAAAUCAUCACGGCCCUUACGUCUUGGGCUACACACGUGCUACAAUGGCCAGUACAGAAAGCAGCUACCAGGCAACUGGAUGCGAAUCUCAAAAACUGGUCUCAGUUCGGAUUGGAGUCUGCAACUCGACUCCAUGAAGCUGGAAUCGCUAGUAAUCGGAUAUCAGCCAUGAUCCGGUGAAUACGUUCCCGGGUCUUGUACACACCG